CGAAUAUUUCAAAAAGGCGACGGGCGUAUCAUGCGCUCAUGGCGUAGCUGUUUAUUUGUUAUAUAAUACUUUUUUCAGCAUUUAUUUUUGUACAGUAAUAGAAACUCACACAUGCUGGUAAUUUAAAAAGUGUGUAAUAAAAUGGAAAUGAGGAAUAUCUCAAAGAGACAAAAAUGAUAUCUAAUAAAAAUUCAAGGGCAGCUAUGGUAUCAAAGAAGGUCCAAUUGACAUAGUUCUUGUGUUUGUUGCUACUGAAAAAUGACCUAAAAGAGUUUGAAUAUAUAUAUUCGCAUUCUGACUUUUUUAAAUGCCCAUUUAAUGAGGUGUGUGAAUUUUUCUGAAUAAGACUGUGAGGCAAAGUUGUAUAUAGGGUAGAAAAAUCAAAAGCACCAAUUAUAAGCAUGCAAUUUAUCAAGUACCUCGAACC
rnacentral:lncRNA from 1 species